UACGUAGGGAGCAAGCGUUGUCCGGAAUCAUUGGGCGUAAAGCGCGCGUAGGUGGCCUCAUAAGUCCGUUGUGAAAGUCAAAGGCUCAACCUUUGAACGCCGAUGGAUACUGCCGGGCUAGAGUCCGGAAGAGGCGAGUGGAAUUCCUGGUGUAGCGGUGGAAUGCGCAGAUAUCAGGAGGAACACCGGUGGCGAAGGCGGGUCUCUGGGAAGUAACUGACGCUGAGAAGCGAAAGCGUGGGUAGCGAACAGG
rnacentral:rRNA from 1 species